UACGUGGAGGGGCAAGCGUUGUCCGGAUUUAUUGGGCGUAAAGAGCGUGUAGGCGGUCAGGUAGGUCCGUUGUGAAAACUCGAGGCUCAACCUCGAGACGCCGAUGGAAACCAUCUGACUAGAGUCCGGAAGAGGAGAGUGGAAUUCCUGGUGUAGCGGUGAAAUGCGCAGAUAUCAGGAAGAACACCCGUGGCUAAGGCGGCUCUCUAGUACGGUACUGACGCUGAGACGCGAAAGCGUGGGGAGCGAACAGG
rnacentral:rRNA from 1 species